rnacentral:rRNA from 1 species
AUGGGGGCGGCGGAUAUCCGGGGACGAUCGCCGCCAUCGUCACCGCCCUCGGCGGGGGCCCCGCGGCCGUCGGCAUCGUCCGCCUGUCCGGCGCCGACGCCGUCACCGUCGUCGCCCGCGUGUUCCGGCUGGCCAGGAAGGAGCCGGCGCCCUGGAGGCCCCGAAGCCACUUCGUGGAGUACGGGGUCGCGCUGGACGGAGAUGGGGGCGUCAUCGAUGAGGUGCUGGUGGUGCCCAUGCUGGCUCCGAGAUCCUACACCCGAGAGGAUGUGGUGGAGCUCCAGUGCCACGCGAACGACCUUUGCUUGCGUCCCGUGCUGA